rnacentral:rRNA from 1 species
CCUCGGGGGCAGCAGUGAGGAAUAUUGGUCAAUGGCCGGAAGGCUGAACCAGCCAAGCCGCGUGAGGGAGGAAGGCGCAGAGCGUCGCAGACCUCUUUUGCCGGGGGACAAAAGGCCGGACUCGUCCGGUCCUGAGGGUACCCGGAGAAAAAGCAUCGGCUAACUCCGUGCCAGCAGCCGCGGUAAUACGGAGGAUGCGAGCGUUAUCCGGAUUCAUUGGGUUUAAAGGGUGCGCAGGCGGGCCUUUAACCCGGCGGUGAAAUCGCGGGGCUCCACCCCCCCGAGCCCCCG